AACCUUUGGUCUUGGCUAAUCUAGGCAAGGCUGUUUCUAUUCAUGUUUCACUGUAAGCCUGGAUGGCUGUGGCUGUCACAUCCCUGUGCAGGAUGUCGUAGUAGGGGUGGCGUGAAUGGUGCAGGAUGUGCAAUGAAGAAUGAAGCUAUGGUCUAAGCAGCUGGCUUAAGGUGUGGUCCUGGUCUGCUCUGGUCUCACUGAACUUUGAUCUGCCUUCUUAAAUUAUGAGCCUGGACCGUGAAGAUGCCAAUCUCUCAUGGGAGCUCUCCAAUCAAGACCAUUAACAAAGAGCGAUCAAUAGGGGAGAUUUCCAGCAGGCCUAUAGAAGAGACACAAGAAUCAGGGGGACAAAGGAUUGUGCCCGGAGAGGGCGCGUGAUGUCAGUUCUGCACUCAGCCAGAGGUUCCCAACCCCAGUGUGGCAUGGAUCACCAUGCCCCAGCACUGCUGUGGGUGGCCACAGAACCCCAGCCUCGUGCUUCACGUGCUGCCCCAUGCACCAUGCUGGGACCUCUCUUCUUUUAGCUAAGUAUCUAUUUUUACAUUGCCCCCAGGCAUCUUCCUAUGUAGCCAAGGUUAAAAUAAGCAAGAGUGUGCUAGGGGCGUACGAAACAUUUGUCAUCAUGCAGCUUAUAUUCCCCCCCUUGGAUCUUAUUGUUUCAGUUGGAUAUCAGAGUCAUGGGGCCACGAGGUUAAAUCUCUAGCAGAUGCUUUUCAAGUCUGGGGGAGAGCGGGGCCCUGACUGAGUUCUUCCCAGCUCCUACUCAAAGUGGGCGGCCCACGGGUCCGAGGACCCUCCAGAUGUUCAGGCAGCCCGUACACCUGAUGCCUGCUGGCUGCGAGGGGACAGCGCGGCGCUGGGCGGCGCGACCCGCGGGGCGGCCGCAUGGAGCGCUCUAUGAGCUCCGCCGCCGUCCCGUUUCCCCCGGGCGCAGGACGCCCUCGGGGCAGCCGGCGCGGGGAGCUCCGCGCUGCCAGGCGCGGGUGGACACUUCUAGGAGGUGAGAGGUCUGCCCUAUACCCACCCUCCCGUUAACUCACACCGC